rnacentral:lncRNA from 1 species
UCUGUGGUUUAAGCCACCCAGUCUGAGGUAUUUUGUUAAGGCAGUCUGAGCAGCUAAUUGGCUCUCAGUUUCAAGGCUGAUUUCAAGAGACUCGUGUUGGCCAGGUAUGAGGGGAGCCAGUGCUCAAGUGAAGGAAGGAAAAUUCAGCACAUCCUCCUCGUCUAGCUGAAGGGGGCUCUGGAGCAGCAGGAGGGGCCCAGGGCAAGCCUGGAAUGAAAUCCGUGGCACUCCUGCAGGUUCUGGGGGCGGUGUCCAUGGAAUAUCCUCUGCCACAUAACAAAAUGACUAAUAAUUGCUUGGGGAGCUUUCAGAACUGCCCCAAGGCUUCCUCUAACACUCCACCCACACCUGGUUCAUGCCAGGUUGCUCGAUGCCUUGGUUCGGGAGAAUAGGUGUGGUGUCAUCUCAGGCUUGGUGGCAGCCCAAGGGAAGGGGCAAGUGUUCUGAGUCUCUCUAGAUGACACAGGAGCUGAGGAAAGCUGGAGUGAAUUAUGAGUCACAGCCCGUACCUCACAAGAAAGUUCUGCCCGAUGCCAGAGCUGGGAGCCAUCACCAGUUAUGCAGGGUUGGUGGAGAAGAGCCUCGGGAUAAUUGAACUUCCAGUGGUGGACAUUUUUGAAGGGAUGCUUGGGGCCCCCUCGAGAUGCUGGCCUAGCAGGACCCAGCUGCUCCAUCCUUGGAUGAAACACCCAACAAGUGUUCCCCGGGUGAUGGAUCAGGAAACUCAGACUCCUGGCCAGGGAAAACAGGCCUGACCUGCUCUCUGGAACCCCCAUGUUGCCAUCCAGGAGAUCCUGAAGCCCAAGGCACAAAUGAGGAGGAGCACAAGGAGUGAGAGAAGUCAGUUCAUCCAACCAUUAAGGAUGAGUUCUGUGUGAGAGGGUCAGAGAAGAGGAUUGGGAAGCAGAUGGAGCAGCAUGUCCUGGCCGGGUGCAGUGGCUCAUGCCUGUAAUCCCAGCACUUUGGGAGGCCGAGCUGGGUGGAUCACCUGAAGUCAGGAGUUCAAGACCAGCCUGGCCAACAUGGUGAAACCCCGUCUCUACUAAAAACACAAAAAUUAGCUGGACGUGGUGGCAGGCGCCUGUAAUCCCAGCUACUCAGGAGGCCGAGGCAGGAGGAUCACCUGAGGUCAGGAGUUCAAGAAGAGCCUGGCCAACAUGGAGAAACCCCAUCUCUACCAAAAAUACAAAAAUUAGCCCGGUGUGGAGGUGUGCACCUAUAGCCCCAGCUAUUUGGGAGGCUGAGCCAGGAGAAUCACUUGAACCCGGGCAGCCGAGGUUGCAGUGAGCUGAGAUCAUGCCAGUGCACCCAGCCUGGGCAACAGAGCAAGACUCUGUUUCAAAAAACAAACAAACAAAAAACAGUAUGUCCUGGAAAUCGUUCCUCAUCAGUUCAUAGAUGUCUUCCUCAAUCAUUUUACAGUUGCACAGAACUCCAUUGUGUGACUGCACCACAGUUUAUUCAAUCACUGCCUAUGUAUAGGAAGUGAUAUUGUUUUCAAUAUUUUGCAAUUAUAAACCGUGCCACAAUGAAUAACCUUGUGCAUUUGUAUUUUCACAGUGUCUGGGGGAGUAUCUUCAGGGUAAAUUGCUGGAAGUGGGAG